GAUGAACGCUGGCGGCGUGCCUAAUACAUGCAAGUCGAGCGAACGGACGAGAAGCUUGCUUCUCUGAUGUUAGCGGCGGACGGGUGAGUAACACGUGGAUAACCUACCUAUAAGACUGGGAUAACUUCGGGAAACCGGAGCUAAUACUGGAUAAUAUUUUGAACCGCAUGGUUCAAAAGUGAAGACGGUCUUGCUGUCACUUAUAGAUGGAUCCGCGCUGCAUUAGCUAGUUGGUAAGGUAACGGCUUACCAAGGCAACGAUGCAUAGCCGACCUGAGAGGGUGAUCGGCCACACUGGAACUGAGACACGGUCCAGACUCCUACGGGAGGCAGCAGUAGGGAAUCUUCCGCAAUGGGCGAAAGCCUGACGGAGCAACGCCGCGUGAGUGAUGAAGGUCUUCGGAUCGUAAAACUCUGUUAUUAGGGAAGAACAUAUGUGUAAGUAACUGUGCACAUCUUGACGGUACCUAAUCAGAAAGCCACGGCUAACUACGUG
rnacentral:rRNA from 1 species